rnacentral:rRNA from 1 species
CUCAGAACGAACGCUGGCGGCGCGUCUUAAGCAUGCAAGUCGAACGGCAAGAGGUAGCAAUACCUCCUAGAGUGGCGGACUGGUGAGUAACACGUGGGUGACAUACCCUUCAGAUGGGGAUAGCUAUUAGAAAUAGUAGAUAAUACCGAAUACGAGCACAGGGGUUAGAGAUCUGUGAGGAAAGGAGCUAAGGCUCCGCUGAAGGAAUGGCCUGCGGCCCAUUAGCUAGUUGGUGAGGUAAGAGCCCACCAAGGCGAUGAUGGGUAUCCGGCCUUAGAGGGUGAACGGACACAUUGGGACUGAGAUACGGCCCAGACUCCUACGGGAGGCAGCAGCUAAGAAUAUUCCGCAAUGGACGAAAGUCUGACGGAGCGACGCCGCGUGGAUGAAGAAGGCCGGAAGGUUGUAAAAUCCUUUUGAAACUGAAGAAUAAGCGUUGUAGGGAAUGACAGCGUGGUGACAGUAGGUUUUGAAUAAGCAACGGCUAAUUACGUGCCAGCCGCUGC